rnacentral:lncRNA from 1 species
AUGAGCCUCUUGCCGACCCGUCUGACCCAAGGCUCUUGCCAGCUGUCUGCACUCACUGUGCACACGGAGAGGAGGGCGUGCGAGGCUGAGCUGAGUCCCUCCUCCGAGUUAACUUUCUGCCUCUUCUCUUAUGGGAAAGGAUGCUCCUCUGGGCGCUUCACUAGGUCACAGGAACAAUCAAAUGAGAUUCGGAGCGGAAGCGUUUGGACAGAGAGAAGACACCACACGAGGAGAAAAGCGGGCAUCGGGCUGGAGCAGAGGGCAGCAUCCCCCGUGGCGGGGUGGUGGGCAGGCCUGGCUCUGUGGCCGGCUGUGCUCCCGCCGCCCCCAACCCCGCGCCUCACCUCUGCAGCCCUACCGGUGUCUUCAGACAGCCCUCCAUCACGAGGCCCCGAGUCACAUGCGUCCCAGGGCCAUGAGGCGGCAGGUGCCUGCCGCAGGGCCGGCACUUGUGCAGGGGGGGUCUUUACAGGUGCUGGGAGACGCCGGCCCGCUCUGGCUCAGUCCUCCUCGCGCCCGAGCUGCUGCUGGACGUCCAUGGCGCCCUGCUGGCCCCGGGCAGAGCCGGAUCUCCACUCCCCAGGGGCUGUGUGCGCGCUGAAACCGGCCCGUCCCCCGGGGGUCACUGGGGCCAGGGAGGUCGGAGUGCCUCCUCGCCCGCAUCCCCGGCCGGCCAAGCUCCCGGCAGCUCUGUCAAGACUCCAUAAGGACACAGCCCACAACACACACGCAAUCCAGAAACCAAAGGUACACUGUUAAAGUUUAAACUGGUACUACUACUAUUUUCCAGCUUUGUCUUCCAAGAAUUAAAAAAAAGUUUCGUAAUUAAAUUACUUAAGAUUCUAUGCUGCUCAGUUUCACAAUCAGAGAAUUCUACUUUGUUUAGAGGUGGAAGCUGGGCCGUCUGGGAGUUUCUCCUGCUCCGGUGAGCAGUUCAGCAAAUGGGAAUCUGGUUUCCCCUCCAGGCUCCAUCCGUCCGGCUUCGAGGCUUUGCGCACACCGCCCGGCCGUCUGGAGAGGCGAUUCUUAACACCCGGGCCUGCGGGGGCCGGAGGGCUGGGCGGCCGCGCAGGGCUCAGAGGUCUCCACCGUCGGUGGGUCCCAGGACACUCAGGCCACAAGUCCAGUCGGUCACGAGGUCCGUGGGGGCCAAGGGUCCUUUGGCGGCGGGGCUCUUGAAGGGGUCGGGGGGCACGGCGGGCAGCGGCGGCAGGGGCUGUCCCCGG